rnacentral:rRNA from 1 species
GACGAACGCUGGCGGCGUGCUUAACACAUGCAAGUCGAGCGAUGAAAGCCUUAUGAACUAUUCGUAGUGAUUGGGGCCGGAUUAGCGGCGGACGGGUGAGUAACGCGUGAGCAACCUGCCUUAAACAACGGGAUAGCCUCGGGAAACCGGGAUUAAUACCGUAUGAGACCCCGCCUUCACAUGAAGAAGAGGUUAAAGAUUUAUCGGUUUAAGAUGGGCUCGCGUCUGAUUAGCUAGUUGGUGAGAUAAAAGCCCACCAAGGCAACGAUCAGUAACCGGCUUGAGAGAGUGAACGGUCACAUUGGAACUGAGACACGGUCCAAACUCCUACGGGAGGCAGCAGUGGGGAAUAUUGCACAAUGGGGGAAACCCUGAUGCAGCGACGCCGCGUGAGCGAUGAAGGAAUUCGUUUCGUAAAGCUCUGUCCAAGGGGAAGAUAAUGACAGUACCCUUGGAGGAAGCCCCGGCUAAAUAUGUGCCAGCAGCCGCCGUAAGAC